CCGCUUCCCCGCCCAGAUGGAACUUCAGUCUCUUUGACAUGGUCUCGCCCAUCUCCGCCGCGCGCCCGGUGCCCCACCACUGGGGCCGCGCGGCACGGCGUGCGGGCGGGGACAAACCUCCUGCCGAGGCGCUUCGCUUCGAGCCACGCUCUGGGAGCCGGGAGUGCUCGCGCCGCCGCCUCUCCCCGGGACCUAGCGCGGCGGAAGGCGAGGGCUUUCUUUACGAAGGCCGCCAGCUGCGAGCACCGGCGGGGCUUCGGGGCGGGCUGGAGCCUCUCCGAGGGGCCUGCCUCGGAGCGGGUGGCUGGCACAUCUGGCGGCAGCCGGUGUGCUCCACGUGGUGCCCCCGCCCCGCCUGGACGCCGACCGGGCCGCCGAGCCCCGGCGGCGCGGGCUCCGGUGAAAGUUGCCCGGCGGGGAGCACUAAAGCCGGGCCCUCCGCUGCUCCGGGCGGCCGAGUCCGCUCACGUCUGACCGCGCGGUCUCUUCGCCGCCGCCGUCCGCUCCCAGCCCGCGGCCCGCACAGCCGGUCUGAGGAGAAGCUCGCGGCAGAGGCCGGAGUCCCCGGGCUCUCUGGAAGCGCUCCCGGGAUCGCCGCUCCGGCUCCUCUUCUGCGGCCGAGCCCGUCUCACGAUUUUCUAGAGAAAGCCGAACGGCCGCGCGGGGUACUUUCCCGCAGGAAAAACCUUGUAGAGAAUAAUUCGCUGUCAUUCAAGGUAAACCAUGGCAGCUGUCUGAGCAGCAACGGGGACUGCUGAAACCCAUCCAGCUGGUACUCUGCGAGUCAGACUCAUCGCUUGCGAGGCCUCCCUGUGACAGCUCCCAUAUGUUGACAUCAUCCAUAUACUUUCUUGCUUUGUGGGACUCAAUUUAUGACUGAAAGGUGAUGAUCAAAGAAAGGCUAGGCAUCUCUUCAAACAUGCCAAAGGAGAGUUAGAAGAUGCCCGAAUGUUGUGCCUAGUCAUGGAUAUUUCAAGAGAUUUAAGGCUUCUGCUGGAAUUCAGAAUGUCUGGACCAAAAGAACUUCAGACAGCAAGCAGCUGAAUUCACCAAUGAUGAACAGUAGUCUUUCAAAAUCACAUAAAUUUUGGAGUACGUAAGAAGAACAAAAAUGAACAAGUGUUUCCAUUUGCCCCAAAAGGAAAAAGGUACAUCCUACCUACUAUAGACUGUAGUCUUGUGGAAAAGUUUAGCAAACAAAUCACUUGUCUAUAUUUGUACAAGCUAGAGGUAACUAAAUUUGACAGUGGAUCCAAUUAAUUAAAAACUAUCCUGAAGUAACUUCAUUUCCUUUUUUGAUCCAGUUAUAAGAUUGAAAGAAUGGUCAACAACACUACUGAAAUUCAGCAAGACACUUAAUCUUUUUUGUUUGUUUGUUUCAUUAUUCCUUUGAAUAAGAGGGAAAUACAGGUUAAAUGAUGAUGCAAUUAGGUAUAGGUGUUGAGCACUGAUCCCUGAUGCCUAUUUAUUUAAAGACAAAUCUUCCUAUUUAAGGCCUAAGUAACAAUAAGAAAAAAUUACAGGGGAAAUCGUUCUCAAUGAAAUCAGAUUUUAGAAAGAAAUGGAGAAAAAUGCAUAGGAAGGGAAAUCAACCUGAGGAGGAUGAGAGUGGUGUGGCUGGGACUGUGAAUUGCGACCAUGUCCCAGCUGGGGCUUCUACUCUUUCACUGAGGUCUUCAAUAAUGGCAUGUAUGUCUCAUUUUCUGGCUUCUGCCUUCUCUGUUGCUUACAGCUGCCUCCUGCUAGAUUCAUCCCUAGCACUGGUCCCUCUCGGCCCAGACUCUAAACUAAUCCUGUCCAACAAACUUAUUAGCAAGCUGUCACCCCUAGAUUCAGAUCAAGAAAUGCUGUCCCUGUGCCCCCAUGACCUUGCCCAGCAGAAGCUCUUCUUAGCCCCUGUUUGACAGGACUGGGUUUCCAUUGUGUUUCCUGUCCUAUUUUUGCUAAUUCCUCUUCCAGGGAUCAAGCUUUCUCUUUGCACAUUUUAAAUAAUUGUAGCCCUUGGGAGAGCUCUCCUGGACCUCAGCUCCUUUUCUGUCAGAUUCUCAGUUUCUUCCGUCAUAACCCCCCAGAAUAAGAUUUCAUUAUAUGUUUUUGAAAAUAUGAGGGUCAUCGGUGACCAAAUUCAUGGCUAAAUUGGUCAUGUCUUUGGCUUUUGUACCUGGCUUACUCCUCCAAGUACAGCAUUCCUCUGCUUACCCUGCCUUCUACCCUUCUGGUCAUGACCCUAAAAGUCAUUCAGGUCCUGGCUUCUUCAUUGACCUAAGCUACUCUGGGGUGCUAUAAGGAAGAUCAUGUCUUGUAUCCCAAUCCUCGGAUAUGACUAACAGCAGGCAUGGUGCUCACACUUGUAGGUUACAGUGAACUGUGGGACAAAAUCAGGAUUCAGAAAAAUUUCAACAAGUAGAAGUUAACAGGAAAUGUCCUGAUCUGGAUCAACACACCCAUUUGCUCCAGUGAAGAAUGAGAAAUAUGUAGCUUUGUGGCAUCUCCUGUUAAGAGGACUUUUGGAUUUUUAGUGCAUUUUAUUAAAAAGUUAUCUCAGUGUGAGUCAUUAGUUUGUGAAGUGACUGCCAAAAAAAGCUUAGAAUGAGCUCAGAAUGCAUUAAUACAAGUAUAGAAGUUGGAAGUGGAAAGUGAUAGCCCCACUUUGUGCUGUGCUGGUUAGCCACACCUGGAAGCUACAUGUUCAGGGAACUAUAAAUAAUUUUGGACAUAGAAGUAAGAUUCAGGAUGGUGAUGAGAUGAAAAGAUUUCCAAAAUGAGAAUUUAUUGAGGAGCUAGAGAAUGAUUGGCUUUCAGGAGAGGUUGGGGGCUAGAAAAUGUUUUCAAAUGUAAUGAAGAACUAUUACGUGGGAAACUUGUUUGUAUGAUCCUAAGGAGUUGACACUAGGGCAAUUGAGUGGGAUAUUUAAACAAAAACUUUCCAAAAGUCAAACUGGCUCUCACAUAAAAAAAGGCUGUUUUGCAAUUAGAGGACAUCUCUGCCAUUGGAGGUUAUUUAAGCACAGAUCAGAUGACCACUUGGUCAGGAUACGGUAGAGAAAAGUCAAACAUCAGGGGGCUUUGCAGUUAUGUGACCUUUACAGGUCCUUCCAAAUUCAGGCAUUCUGUGAUUCUAGGUAUGUCUUUUAAAAACAGAUCUCCAUUUGAAGAGUAGGAACUUCUGCUUAAUGAAUAUCAACUCUACAAAGAUAUUUCAAAUAAAUUGCCUCAUUUAUUAUGCACAACAAUCCCAUGUGAUGGGUAUUAUUAUUUUAAUUUUCAGAGGAGGAUAUUAUGGUUAGAGAGAUUAAAUAUUUUCUUUCAGAUCACACCUAUAAGAAAGGUGGGAUCUAGGGUGAGCCUAGAUCCUUGUCCUAUGAAAGGAUUCAGUUCAUUAAAACUUCUAAAACUUUGAAGUCUUAUGAAGGUAGUUCUGUGGACUUUAACCUUGAAAUAUGCUAUGAAGGAAAGAGACCUAUCCUGGAAUGCAAGAGACUUGGUAUUUAGAGCCAAUUCUGCCAAAAACAUGGUUCACCACCUGGUCUUGGUUUCCUUGAUAGUAAAAUUGGGGUAUUGAGUAGAUGAUAUCAAAGGCUCUGUCUAGAUUUAACAUUUUAUAGUUUUAAAAUGGUUAGUUAAGAUAAUUAAAUUGAAAUGCACAUCUUUAUUUUCCCAAAAUACUUUGUAAGGUUUGAACACGGUUCUCCUAUAUCCUUAACCAUAUGGAGUCUUGAUACUAUAGAACUUGACCCCUAGACCACAUUCUCCAAGACUCCCAUUUCCUUGCUAAGCCAGCUUACAAUAACAAACACAGCAAAGAUUAUCCAAGACAGUUGUGUUCACCAACAUCCCAUGUGUUCCUUUCCCAGACUUCCUUGUAGUUAUAUUCGAGCUUAUAUUUCCAGCUCAGGCUGAAGGUCUAUGAAGAGACACAUGGUUAAAAGUAGGCACGUCUCUUCCAUGUCUCUCUUCUGCCUUGGCUGAGCUGGUAGCAUCACGAUAAGGAAAGUCUAGAUCCCUGAGUCCGUGGAUAGAGACGUUACCAAAUGCUUUCAAUAUUGAGUGGGUGACAUACAACAUUUACUGAGACAAGUCACUGAAGUUUUUAGAUUUUAUUUGUUACCACAGCUUAGUAUGACAGAUGCAUAUACUUUGCAUUGAUUCCCAGAAAUGUAAAUAAACAAAAUGUACCAAUUAAAAGGCAAAAGUUUUCAGAUUGGAUUUAAAGGGCUGACCUAACUGCUGGAUAUAAAGAACCCAAGUUAAAUAUAAAGGCACAUGUAGAGUAAAAGAAUAGAAAGAGAUUAGCUUUACUACCCCUAACCACAUGAAUGCAGGAGUAGUUAUGUUAUUACCAAAAUAAUUGUCUGAAAUAUGUCAGAGUAAAAAAUAAUACUAGGAAUAAAGAAAUUCAUUUCAUGAUGAUAAAAUAUAAUUCAACAAGAGGACAUAACAAUCCUAAUGUUCGUAUUUCUAAACAUUAUAACAGAUAACAGAGUUUCAAAGUACUUGCAGCAAAAUCUGAUAACACAGGAAGAAUAAACAAACAAAUCCAUAAUUAUAUCCAGAGAUUUCAACAGCACUCUUCCAAUAAUAAAUAGAACAAAGAGAAAAAAUCAAUGAGUAUAGAAGACUUGAAUAGCACAAUUAUUCAAUUUGACCUAAUCAACAAUCAUAUAUAUCUCUAUGCAACAACAGCAGAAUAUAUAUUAUUUUCAAGUGCACUCAGAAUGUUUGGCAGAAAGUAUUAAUAUAGUAUUAAAAUCCAAAUUAUAUAAAAUAUGUUAUUUUUUAAAAAAUAUUUUUAAUGUUUUUAUUUAUUGUUAAGAGACAGAGCGUGAGUGGCGGAGGGGCAGAGAGAGAGAGAGGGAGACAUAGAAUCUGAAGCAGGCUCCAGGCUCUGAGCUGUCAGCACAGAGCCCAAUGUGGGGCUCGAACUCAUGAACUGUGAGAUCAUGACCUGAGCUGAAGUCAGACACUUAACCAACUGAGCCACCCAGAGGCCCCAAGGCAUGCUCUUCUACCACAAUGAAAUCAAAUUAAAAAUCAAUAAUGGGAGGAUAUCUGGACAAUCUCCAAAUAUUUGGAAGCUAAAUUGCACACUUCUAAAUAAUCCAUGGGAUCAAAAAGAAAUAAAAAAUUAGAAAUUAUUUUGAAUUGAAUGAAAAUUAAAAGAAAACACACAGAAAAUGUAGGUUGUUGCUAAACAGAGCUUAGAGGGAAAUUUACGCUAUUAAUGUCUGUAUUAGAAAAGAGAAUGGGCUCAUAUCAAUGACCUAAGAAACUUAACAAACAACUUUGAGAACCUAGAAAAAGCAGAGCAAAUUAAACUCAGACUGAACAGAAGAAAGGAAAUAAUGAAAAUCGGAGAAGAAAUCAAGAAAAUAGACAAGAGAAAAAACUACAAUCAAUGAGAGAUUUUUAUUGUUAUAUUUUUUUGUUUAUUUAUUUUUGAUAGAGAGAGUAUGAGUGGGGAGGGGCAGAAAGAGAGGGAGACACAGAAUCCAAAGUAGGCUCCAGGCUCUGAGCUGUCUGCACAGAGCCCAAUGUGGAGUCUGAACUCACUAACCAUGAGGUCAUGACCUGAGCCAAAGUCAGAUGCUUAACCAACUGAGCCACUCAGGCGCCCCAAAAGCUUUUUAUUUUUAGAUCAAUAAAAUCAAUAAAUUUCUAGUCAGACCAAGCAGGAGAAAAUAGCGAAGACACAAAUGAUCAACAUUGGGAAUGAGAGAUGGGACUUCAUUAUAAAUAUACCGAUAUUAAAGGGAAAAUCAGGAAAUAUUAUCAUCAAUUUUAUGACAAUAAAUUUGGCUAUUUAGAUGAAAUGGACAAAGUGCUUGAAAGACACAAACUACCAAAGCUCACUCUGUCAAGAAAGAGAUAGCCUGAAUAGCCCUGUUGGGAGAAAAUUCUCCAUGUCUCUGGUGUUUCUACAUGUCUUUUCAAAGACAUUUGUAUACUGAACAGCCUUGGAAGAUAGAAAUAGUGUCUCCUUUUGGAGCAGACAGUAUGUUUUUUUUGCUCUUCAGAGUAAAAGUCAGAAGACAGGUUUGCUAGCAGCCUGUAUAGUAAAUAAAAGAUAAACAAACACAAGAUUAAAAAAAUAUAUUUUUGUGUUUCCUAAACUAGGGGUUCCUCAGUUGUGACACAAAUGCCUAAGGCAUGUGAACUUUUGAGGUUGGUCUUUCUCAUGUCAGGGACUUCUUAAGAUUUUGUAAGGACAAUACAGAUAUCUUUCUUCUUCACCCUCCUCUUUUCUCCUCAUUCCUCUUCCUUUUCUUCCUGUUUGACUUUUUCGCUCUUAAAAUGUUACUGGCUUUAUUGAAAUAUUAUUCCCAUACCAUAAAAUUCUUCCAUUUAAAGUGUACAACCCAGCUGUUAGUAGCAUAUUUACAGAGUUGUGUAAACAUCACUAUAAUUUUAGUAGACAUUUCUUAUUCCACACCAACCACUAACCUACUUCUGUCUCUAAAGAUUUACUCAUCUGGAGAUUUCAUGUAAGUGGAAUUAUACAUAAGGUAGACUUUUGGGUCUGGCUUCUUUUAUGUUUUCAGGAUUUAUCCUUAUUGUAGCCUGUAUCAGUACAUCAUUCCUUUUUUAUUGACACACAAUAUUCCAUUAUAUAGGUAUAUCGCAUAUUAUUCAUCCAUUCAUCAUUUCAUGGACAUUUGGGUUCUCUUUAUCUUUUCACUGUCAUGAAUAAUACACGUUCACAGCUAUGAACAUUCAUAUGCAAGCCUUUGUGUGGACAUAUGAUUUUCAUUUCUCUUGUGUAUAUAACCAGGGGUGGAAUUACUGGAUCAUGUGUUAACUCUAUAUUUUGUCUUUUGAGAAAUAGUCCAGCUGUUUUCUAAAUCAUAUGUACAAUUUUGUAUACUCAUUAGCAGUGUAUGAGGGUUCUAAUUUCUCCACACCCCCAUCUGUAUUUGUUAUUAUCUAUCUGUCUGAUUAUAGUUGUCCUGGGCAUGAGAAGAAGUAUCUCUUCAUGGUUUUCAUUUGCAUUUCCCUAAAGACUAUUGACAUUAAACAUCUUUUCAUGUGCUUAAUGGUCAUUUGAAUAUAUUCUUUGGAGAUUAAUCUGUUUAACAGGCAACAACCUCUCUGACCUUGGCCACAGCAACUUCUUACUAGACAGGGAAACAAAAUCAAAAAUGAAGUAUUGGGACCUCAUCAAAAUAAAAAGCUUCUGAGCAGUGAAGGAAACAAUCAACAAAACUAACAGGCAACUGACAUAAUGGGAGAAGAUAUUUGCAAACGACAUAUAAGAUAAAGGGUUAGUACCCAAAAAUUUAUAAAGAACUUAUCAAACAACAUGCAAAAAUAUAAUCCAGUGAAAAAAAUAGGCAGAAGACAUGAACCAACGCUUUCCCAAAGAAGAUAUCCAGAUGGCUAACAGUCACACGAAAAGAUGUUCAACAU